CUACAUGAAGCUGGAGNUACGAGUAAUCGCAGAUCAGAAUGCUGCGGUGAAUGCGUUCCCGGGUCUUGUACACACCGCCCGUCACACCACGGGAGUUGGAGACGCCCGAAGCCGAUUAUCUAACCUUGUGGAAGAAGUCGUCGAAGGUGGAAUCAAUAACUGGGGUGAAGUCGUAACAAGGUAGCCGUAUCGGAAGGUGCGGCUGGAUCACCUCCUUUCUAAGGA
rnacentral:rRNA from 1 species